rnacentral:rRNA from 1 species
ACGACUACACUCCUACGGGAGGCAGCAGUAGGGAAUCUUCCGCAAUGGGCGAAAGCCUGACGGAGCAACGCCGCGUGAGUGAUGAAGGUCUUCGGAUCGUAAAACUCUGUUGUUAGGGAAGAACAUAUGUGUAAGUAACUGUGCACAUCUUGACGGUACCUAAUCAGAAAGCCACGGCUAACUACGUGCCAGCAGCCGCGGUAAUACGUAGGUGGCAAGCGUUAUCCGGAAUUAUUGGGCGUAAAGCGCGCGUAGGCGGUUUUUUAAGUCUGAUGUGAAAGCCCACGGCUCAACCGUGGAGGGUCAUUGGAAACUGGAAAACUUGAGUGCAGAAGAGGAAAGUGGAAUUCCAUGUGUAGCGGUGAAAUGCGCAGAGAUAUGGAGGAACACCAGUGGCGAAGGCGACUUUCUGGUCUGUAACUGACGCUGAUGUGCGAAAGCGUGGGGAUCAAACAGGAUUAGAAACCCUUGUAGUCCACCAAUCC